GACUUUAAUGAAUAAACAUUUUGGUUCUGUUGGUGUUUUCCCACCAAUAGAGCCCAUGCACUUGAUCUUUGCCAUAUCUCUAUGAGGAGGACACACUUUAGUCAACUCCCUAAGAAUCCUACAAGUGAAGAUCCUAGACCUAUGAACAUGCACACUGAGCGAAGAUGUUGCUAGCUCCUAGAACUAGUGCUUGACUCCAAACCGUUGGAGAAGCAAUAAACAUAGGUGACAUCAUCUCAAGAGGUGCAACUAUCAAAGUCUCCACCUUUGGGACCAGAUAAAGCACCUAAGAAUUAAAAUGGUAAGAGGUCCUAUUGAGAGGACUUAAAAUCACAAAACGCCACGUCAAGAGGUAACUUGCUAUUUAUCUGCAUUUUCCUUUAAGCAUAUUUAUUUUUCUUAAUAGCAUUAGUAGUUGCAUCUUUAUUGUUUAUGCAUUAGAAAAGAAAAUAAAAAUGUAUUGAAUUGCAUUUAGAAAACUACUACGCCCCAUGUAUUUAAUAUGUGAUGCAUCAGCUUACAUACUUAUCUACUAUGGUGGCACAAAAAUAAGUUUUAGCAUAUUUAUUUUCCGGCAUACUAUACAUAUGAAAAGUAUAAAAAAAUAUUGAUCCUACUAAAAGAUAAAUGGGUAUAAGAAAGUUCUAGACUCUCAAAGCUUAGAGAUUUAUUACUAACGCUUAAUCAGUUCCACAAGCUUUGUUGUAUAUUUUGAGCUUCAUAGGCUUCAAAGGAUCAAAAAGAACUAACAGGUAGAAGGACGUCUUGUGCCCCAUCGGAGUACUGUUCACACGAGGCAAGUGUUGUUGCUGACAGCAAGUACCUACGAUACUCCAGGAGGAUCAGUACGUUUUCACUGCCCGUCAACAAUCUCGUCAACAUCCAGCUUGGGAGAGAGCAACCCCCGUACACCAAGCUAAGUAUCCCUUACUAACUUAUCUAUUUAUUCCUAGUGCGUUAUGACAUGAUAAAAAGAUGAAUAAUCUUAGAAAUCCAAUAAAUAUUUUAUCUUUCAUAAUUAAUCUUGCUAGGAAGAGCUUCUAAUGAAUCUGUUAAGAUGAACCUCUAGAAUUAACUCUUAUAUGGAGAUGAUGAAUAGUUGCUCUGCCGUAAUUCCUUGCAAGUACUAGUUUUCAACCUUGUACUCUUUUGAGUUUUUGGCACAACUGUUUAGACUUAAGAUUUGCUCUGAGCCUAAAACUUGGGGGUAGCAAAUGCUUAAUCUAAGUCUAGGUAGUUGACGGAUAUAAUAUGGGAAGGUUUUGAGCUACUAUCAAUCUUGAUCCUAGAGAUGCUAGAAUUCUAGAGAAUUUUAUUUUGAAAAUCUUAAAUUGCUACAUGAUGAGUUCCUUUAUGACGAGAGUUUUAAAAUUCCUACCACAGCCAAUUACUCAUGCUUACUAGAUUAGGAAAACCUCCACUUAUAUUUCAACCUAUAAGCAUUGAGAGUAGUUAAGCUGUGUAGACCCUAUGGAACUAGUCAUGCAGUUAAAGUCAAUAUUAUGUGCUCUCCAUCUAUUAAUCUUAGCUAUUUCUAUCCUCAGAAGUAUGCAACCACUUUCAUCCACCAUAUUCACUAUGUGCUACUUCUGUUUCUAGAAGUACCACCCACAUAUACGCACUACACUCUGUGUAGUUUCUAUCCUGGAGACACACAUCUAUGCUGCUCCUACCCUAGGAGUACGCAUUCCUUCAUUCACCCACACACAUUCCAUGUCCACUUAAUUAGAAAAUGUUCUACUCCUACACUGGGAGAAGACACCCAAAAAUAUUCAAUGUCUUAUUCUACUUAAUAAAGCCCCAGUUAUCCCAGUUGAUACUCCCUACUAUUGUCAUUGAAUUAAAAGGGAUGGCUGAUCUCAAAAAAAAGAGAGAAAAAAAGAAGAAAAGAAAGAAAGAGGACAAAAGUCCCAAUGCAAAAGAAAAGAAAGACAGCCAAAUCCUUGUUCUCAAAUUAGGGAGGUAUGUUAUCCCCAAGGAGCAAAUGUAGAAUUAGAUAUUCACCAUCAGUUAUCACCCCUCAUAACCCCUUUCAUUCUUAUCACUUCAUUUCACUUCACUCACAUGCACAUAUUACUUAAUUGUAUAAUUAGUUUCUCUGGAUCCAUGGUUUAACUAUGCAAUACAUGCUAGUAGGUUUGAAUUAUCUUUCCCACCUAUCAGCUCCACAUAAGCCAAUUAGAAGUAGGGUGAGAGAGAUAAGGCAACUAUGUCUUAGUGAUACAAAUACCAUAUAUUCUGAGAGCAAAGAGAAUGCAUACUCACUUGCCUUAGAGAGGAUCCAAAAAUACCACAUAUGAGAGACUGGAAAGUGUCAUACAAGGAAACUCUGAUUUUUAUUUAAAAAUCUUGCAAAACUCUAGAAUAAUAGUUGAUCAAGAAGCGGGUAGCAUAGUGCUCGACUUGACUGUUCUGUCUUUUGACUGCCCAAGACCUAAGUGAUAGCUAGAAGCGGGUAGCAUAGUGCUCGACUUGACUGUUCUAUCUUUCGACUGUUCUGUCUUGAGUCAGAAUAGUUCACUCUAAUCCGGAGGCGAGUCCUUGUUUGAAUACUUGUGUACUUGUGAGGCAUGAAAACAUUGUAGCAACUCCUAAUCCAAGUUUACUAGUUAGGCUUUGCUAAGGGACUAGCAAAGGGUAAGCUUGGGGGAACUUGUUGAUGGUUAAUAACGUCAACUUUUAUUAUAACUUUAGACCUGAAGGAAAACAUGAAAACACACUAGUCUAGGGUUUUAUCUGACAACUUCCACGAGUUUUGCAUAUUCUGUAUUUUCCAAAGUGAAUUUUAGGAAAGCCGAAAAGAGGAAUUCUAGUGCAAAAUAAACACAAAACUUAUCCACCACG
rnacentral:lncRNA from 1 species